UACGUAGGUGGCAAGCGUUGUCCGGAUUUACUGGGCGUAAAGAGCGCGCAGGCGGUCGGAUAAGUCGAAUGUGAAAGCCCCCGGCUCAACUGGGGAGGGUCAUUCGAUACUGUUCGACUCGAAGGCAGGAGAGGGAAGUGGAAUUCCCGGUGUAGUGGUGAAAUGCGUAGAUAUCGGGAGGAACACCAGUGGCGAAGGCGACUUCCUGGCCUGUUCUUGACGCUGAUGCGCGAAAGCCAGGGGAGCAAACGGG
rnacentral:rRNA from 1 species